UGAUUGUUUGUUGAACUUUUAUUCUUGAAAGUAAAACCUCGCAACUUUGGUUAUUACUCCAGAAAAUAUGAAUCUAUUUUUGAAAUUGUCUUAUCAUUUAUUUCAAUUCUUCUUUAUAUGUCAGCUUUUUUAUGAUGAUGUUGAGGCAAUAAAUUCCGAUGACAUUGUGUUCAAUACGACCGAAGAAUCUUCAUGGUCGUCCACCAUAUUUGUGAUUCCUGAGGAUUCUGUAGCGAAUUUCGGAUCGUUCAUCUGUAAAAAGACGAGUUCAUAUUACUGCUUGCAUUCAUUUGUUUCCCGAUACCGUGAAAGUUCAAACCCAGCAUUCUUUUUGGACUUCGAAGCCGGGUGGAGUCUGGCAGAUCCUAGUGUGGGUCGGCUAUACACAAUGCAUCAUUUUGCCUGGUCAGAGAGCGUCAAACUUUUCACACCUCUUUCUCAAAAUCAUUCACUUUUUUCAUCCGCGGAAGAAGAUUUAUACGACCAAUAUAACAGCUACUACAUUCUCGGGUUCAAAAACGCACUACUGACACCGAAAGAGUAUGUGGAUAAAUUAACCGAUUACAGGGAAGAAAACAAAGCUUUGAACUUUAUUUCGGCUUACUAUUCAUCGAUAUGUCAGGUCAACAUUAUUAUUAAAGUUGGGUUUGGUGUUGGCGAUCUGAAACGGGACAUCGAUCAAAUAGCGUCAACUGAUCAACUGAUUGGUGCGCCGUACCAAUUACGGGUUGGGCGUGAUUGGACCCCCAAAAUACCCUAUCCUAAUCUGGUAGACUACAUUACCUUCAAAUGGUUCAAGAAAAACGUCAUUUGCGCUGAGAAUCCGUGGAUUUGCGGAGAGAGCACAAAAUAAAUUCAGGAUACUUCUCAUGGUGGUGGAAUCUGUUGCGGAAAAAAAACAGAAAUCCAUCUUUUAACUAACCUAGAAAUUUUUAUACAAUAAACCCGAAGAAGCAAAUCCUGAUUUCUGUUUCAGCACUUUCACAUAACUAAAGCCCUCAAAGUUAAUAUUUUCAACAAUUCCCUGAAUCUUCAAUAACCAUUAUGACGCCAAACUGUGUAUUUUGUGAAUUUGUCAGCGCUCUCUUUUUUCUUCUUUUGUUCUGUGUUUUCUUUGGUCGUACCGACAAAAUUUUAACA